ACAGGCUUUAAAAUUACAUUUCCAAGAAUAAUCUUGGAACAAGACAAGUUUUUGUUCAAUUAAUUGUGGCUGGAAACUUUUUAAUGGAAACAUAGCACACACUUGCUUCAUUUCAGGUUAUUAAACUGUGUUAAGCACUGUAGUUAUUUGCCAUUCUUUGCCGCAGCUCAUUUGCUUUUUUCAAUCCAAAGAAAUAUUAGAAGGUUAAAACUUAUCACAUAGGAGGGAUUAAUCAUGCUCCCAAAUUAGAAAGCUUGUAACUCUAAGAGACUCGGUGUCAAAACUGGAUGGUCAUGGCACUUAAACGAUUGGGAACCCACAAUGCUACUGUACCAUUUAAAAUGGACACUCACGUCUGUGGAGACCCUUGAUGUGUGACCCUGAUUUAGCUGGUAUUCCUUAAUGACUGGUUAAGGGAAGGAAUGUUCAAGAUUCAGUCCCAGGCAAAGAAGAGAAAGCACACCAGCACUGAGAGGCUGUGCAGUGCAUAUUUGUGGAGAACAUACUGCUGAUCAUUCUGGGCAAGGAAAAAGGAAGAGAAUGGGAUGGAAUUAGAAGUAGAUGCAGAAAACAAGUAAAUAAAAAGAUCUUCAAAGGAAGAUCUGUGUGCUAAAAGUUUGAAGCAAAGUAUUUGAACAUCCAUGCUUUACCCUUCAUAAAAGCACCGGUAAACGGAAAGAAAUGACAGUGAGACUGAAUUAUGAACUUUAAAGAGUUGAGAACAAGUCAUUGCCUGUACUGUGAGAGCUGCUUGCUUUGCUCUGGAUUAACUGUCUGCAAUAGGUCAUCGCCUGUCUAUCAUAGUCAAGGAUUUUACCAAGAACACACAACAAAAUGAGCAAAAAUUGACUUCGGAAUGCUUACAGGGAUACUACAUAGCCCAAAUGAAGACCAAUCUUCUCUCCAUUUACUUUGAUGUUGGCUGAUGCUGGCGAGGAUGAGGAGAAAGAGGAACACUCCUCCAUUGUUGGUGGGAGUGCAGGCUUGUACAACCACUCUGGAAAUCAGUCUGGCGGUUCCUCAGAAAACUGGACAUAGUACUACCGGAGGAUCCAGCAAUACCUCUCCUGGGCAUAUAUCCAGAAGAUGCCCCAACAGUUUUCCGGACCUACACUCUGUUCACACGAGGCAGAAGCUGUGGGUCUUCUGUCACAUGUAGAAUUUGAGAUCCUUUUGAAAGCAUAAGUAGAAGAUUCAAAUUAUUUUACAACUGUCCUUCCUCCUCUGAGUGGGUAGGGGCCUCCGUAUAUCCCUCCACCCUGGCACUUCAAGUCUCUGUGAGGCUAGAUGCUUCCUCUUCCACUGAGGCCGGUCUGUCAGCCCAGCUAGAAGAACAUAUCCCACAUGCAGUUAACAGUUUUUGAGACAACCCCCACUCCAGUUGUUCCAGACCCACAUGAAGACCAAGCUGCACUUUGUUACGUAUGUAUGGGGAAGCCAAGGUUGAGCCCAUGUAUGUUCUUUGGUUGGUAGUUUAGUUUCUGAGAGCCCCAAAGAUCCAGGUUAGUUGAUUCUGUUGGUCUUUCUGUGGAGUUCCUAACCCUUUAGGGACCCACAAUCCUUCCUCCUGUUCUUCUGUAAGAGUCCCUAAGCUCCAGCCACUCUUUGGCUGUGUGUUUCUGCAUCUGUCUGAGUCAGUUGGUGGGUGGAACAUCUCAGAGGACAACUAUAAUAGGCUCCUUUUGACAAGUAUAAUAGAGUAUCAUUAAUAGUGUCAGUGAUUGGUGUUUGCCAAUAGGAUGGGUCUCAGUUUGGACUGGUUAUUGGUUGGUCAUUCCCUUAGUCUCUGCUCCAUCCCCAAUCCCUGCAUUUCUUAUAGACAGGGUAAGUUUGGGUCAAAAGUUCUGUGGGUGAGUUGGUGUUUCUAUUGCUCUACUGGGGUUCCUGCCUGACCUUGACUUCUUAUUAAUUGAGAAUUUAAUACAAUAUAUUUUGGUCAUGUUACACUUCUUCCAACAACCUCUCCCAGAUUCUCCCUUUUUUCUUUCCAACACAUUUUUUUUUUUUGUUUUCGUUUUUUGUUUAACCCAUGACAUCCAAAUUGUGCUACAUCUACUUGUAGAUGUGUUAGCACUCACUGGGGAAAGGUGACCCAUCAGAGAUCAUGCAUGUACAAAGACCUGCUGUUCUCUUUCCAAGAGAAUCAAAUACAAAAUAAAUCUCAGCUAGAGGUGGCACUUCAUACCCAUUUCUCUUAUCCAUGCUGGGAUUUAAUUUGGCUAGAGCCUGCACAAGUCUUAUGCACACUGUCAAGAUGUCAGUUCCUAUGUGCAACAAUCCAGUUGUGCCUGAAAAACAGUUUUCUAGUAGUCAUUUACUACCUCUGGCUCUUACAUUUCUGUCUCCUCUUCUAUAAUGAUCUUCAGAGAAGAGUGGACAUAAUAUAGAUGUUCUAUUUGGGGCUGACCAUUCCUCAGUCUUCUAUUCUCUGAAAUGUGGCCAAUUGUGGGUCUCUGUUAAUUUAUAUCUACUGCCAAAAGAGAUUUCUCUGAUAAGGGCCUAGAUCUGUAGUAAUCUAUGGAUAUAGGGAUGAGUCAGCAGGAUCAAGAGUCAGUUUAAUAUUAUGUCUACCCAAUGAAGUAAUAGUAGAUUCUCUCUUAAAACAUAAAACCUGUCUAGCAUAGGUUCUGGGUCAUGAUAAUUGUCGCAGGUAUGGGUUUGUUUUGUGGAGCAGACCUUAAAUAUAAUCAGAAAGAAGUUGAUUACACUCAUGACAUUCAAGCCACAAGUAGGCACAUCUCAGCAGACUCAUCAUUGUUGUAGCUCUCAGGGGUCACAGUUCAGUGUGGUUUAUGAUUGGUCUUCUCUGGUUGUAUACACAGCACAUUUCAGCAAUUCAACACCUAGUCAGCAGAGACGAAGCUUCCAGGUGAGUACCAGUUUGAUUUAUCCAGGUUCUUUGAGUCAGGAUAUGGUGUCUUCAGCAACAUGAUCAUACACUGAAGUUCUGGAAGAUAACUAUCACAAUAGUCCGUAAUGUUUGGGAGCUAGGGGACCUCACUGGCCAGCAGGUCCAAAAGAGGUAACAAAUCACUGGCAUUGGGCUUUUUGAU